rnacentral:rRNA from 1 species
AGCAGCCGCGGUAAUUCCAGCUCCAAUAGCGUAUAUUAAAGUUGUUGCAGUUAAAAAGCUCGUAGUUGAAUUUCGGGAUCAAUGUUUCGGUCAUGCCCUUGGUAUGUACUGAUAUUAUUGGUUUCUCACCUUCUAAAGAACCGUAAUGCCAUUAAUUUGGUGUCACGGGGAAUUAGGACUGUUACCUUGAAAAAAUUAGAGUGUUUAAAGCAGGCUCACGCUUGAAUACAUUAGCAUGGAAUAAUGAAAUAGGACAUCCGAUUCUAUUUUGUUGGUUUCUAGGAUCGAUGUAAUGAUUAAUAGGGAUAGUUGGGGGCAUUAAUAUUCAAUUGUCAGAGGUGAAAUUCUUGGAUUUAUUGAAGACUAACUACUGCGAAAGCAUUUGCCAAGGAUGUUUUCAUUAAUCAAGAACGAAAGUUAGGGGAUCGAAGACGAUCAGAUACCGUCGUAGUCUUAACCAUAAACUAUGCCGACUAGGGAUCGGAUGAUGUUAAUUUUUUAAUGACUCA